GCUGGGUGUGGUGGUGCACUCCUGUUAUCACAGUGGCUCAGGAGGCUGAGGCAGGAGGAUUGCAAGUUCAGAGCCAGACUCAGCAACUUACAGAGGCUCUGAGCAACUUAGUGAGAGUCUGUCUUUA
rnacentral:sRNA from 1 species